rnacentral:rRNA from 1 species
UAGCGGCGGACGGGUGAGUAACACGUGGGUAACCUGCCUGUAAGACUGGGAUAACUCCGGGAAACCGGAGCUAAUACCGGAUAGUUCCUUGAACCGCAUGGUUCAAGGAUGAAAGACGGUUUCGGCUGUCACUUACAGAUGGACCCGCGGCGCAUUAGCUAGUUGGUGGGGUAAUGGCUCACCAAGGCGACGAUGCGUAGCCGACCUGAGAGGGUGAUCGGCCACACUGGGACUGAGACACGGCCCAGACUCCUACGGGAGGCAGCAGUAGGGAAUCUUCCGCAAUGGACGAAAGUCUGACGGAGCAACGCCGCGUGAGUGAUGAAGGUUUUCGGAUCGUAAAGCUCUGUUGUUAGGGAAGAACAAGUGCGAGAGUAACUGCUCGCACCUUGACGGUACCUAACCAGAAAGCCACGGCUAACUACGUGCCAGCAGCCGCGGUAAUACGUAGGUGGCAAGCGUUGUCCGGAAUUAUUGGGCGUAAAGGGCUCGCAGGCGGUUUCUUAAGUCUGAUGUGAAAGCCCCCGGCUCAACCGGGGAGGGUCAUUGGAAACUGGGAAACUUGAGUGCAGAAGAGGAGAGUGGAAUUCCACGUGUAGCGGUGAAAUGCGUAGAGAUGUGGAGGAACACCAGUGGCGAAGGCGACUCUCUGGUCUGUAACUGACGCUGAGGAGCGAAAGCGUGGGGAGCGAACAGGAUUAGAUACCCUGGUAGUCCACGCCGUAAACGAUGAGUGCUAAGUGUUAGGGGGUUUCCGCCCCUUAGUGCUGCAGCUAACGCAUUAAGCACUCCGCCUGGGGAGUACGGUCGCAAGACUGAUACUCAAAGGAAUUGACGAGGGCCCGCACAAGCGGUGGAGCAUGUGGUUUAAUUCGAAGCAACGCGAAGAACCUUACCAGGUCUUGACAUCCUCUGACAACCCUAGAGAUAGGGCUUUCCCUUCGGGGACAGAGUGACAGGUGGUGCAUGGUUGUCGUCAGCUCGUGUCGUGAGAUGUUGGGUUAAGUCCCGCAACGAGCGCAACCCUUGAUCUUAGUUGCCAGCAUUUAGUUGGGCACUCUAAGGUGACUGCCGGUGACAAACCGGAGGAAGGGGGGGAUG